rnacentral:ncRNA from 2 species
AUUUCUGACGGAAAUGGGGUUUUCCAAGAUUAUAAAUCUAAACUGCUAUAAGUGCUGAUAACUCCUGUAACUUC